rnacentral:rRNA from 1 species
UGAUCCUGGCUCAGGAUGAACGCUAGCUAUAGGCUUAACACAUGCAAGUCGAGGGGAAACGGCARAGAGUGCUUGCACMCUUUGGACGUCGACCGGCGCACGGGUGAGUAACGCGUAUCCAACCUGCCCUUUACUUGGGGAUAACCCGUUGAAAGACGGACUAAUACCCAAUGAUAUUCAUUGAUGACAUCUGAUUUGAAUUAAAGAUUUAUCGGUAUAGGAUGGGGAUGCGUCUGAUUAGCUUGUUGGUGAGGUAACGGCUCACCAAGGCMACGAUCAGUAGGGGUUCUGAGAGGAAGGUCCCCCACAUUGGAACUGAGACACGGUCCAAACUCCUACGGGAGGCAGCAGUGAGGAAUAUUGGUCAAUGGACGAGAGUCUGAACCAGCCAAGUAGCGUGCAGGAUGACGGCCCUAUGGGUUGUAAACUGCUUUUGUUUGGGAAUAAUCGACAUUACGUGUAAUGUUUUGCAUGUACCAUUCGAAUAAGGACCGGCUAAUUCCGUGCCAGCAGCCGCGGUAAUACGGAAGGUCCAGGCGUUAUCCGGAUUUAUUGGGUUUAAAGGGAGUGUAGGCGGUUGGUUAAGCGUGUUGUGAAAUGUAGAUGCUCAACAUCUGACUUGCAGCGCGAACUGGCUGACUUGAGUACACACAACGUAGGCGGAAUUCAUGGUGUAGCGGUGAAAUGCUUAGAUAUCAUGAAGAACUCCGAUUGCGAAGGCAGCUUACGGGAGUGUUACUGACGCUUAAGCUCGAAGGUGCGGGUAUCGAACAGGAUUAGAUACCCUGGUAGUCCGCACAGUAAACGAUGGAUGCCCGCUGUUAGCACCUGGUGUUAGCGGCUAAGCGAAAGCAUUAAGCAUCCCACCUGGGGAGUACGCCGGCAACGGUGAAACUCAAAGGAAUUGACGGGGGCCCGCACAAGCGGAGGAACAUGUGGUUUAAUUCGAUGAUACGCGAGGAACCUUACCCGGGCUUGAAUUGUAGGAGCACGAUACAGAGAUGUUGAGGUCCUUCGGGACUCCUAUGAAGGUGCUGCAUGGUUGUCGUCAGCUCGUGCCGUGAGGUGUCGGCUUAAGUGCCAUAACGAGCGCAACCCCUUUYCUUAGUUGCCAUCAGGUAAUGCUGGGCACUCUGAGGAUACUGCCACCGUAAGGUGUGAGGAAGGUGGGGAUGACGUCAAAUCAGCACGGCCCUUACGUCCGGGGCUACACACGUGUUACAAUGGCCGGUACAGAAUGUUGG